GAAAAGUUAAAAGACACCGGGACGAUCGCGUCCAACGACAGGAGGAGCUCGGAAACUCGCAAAGAAAGAACGACGCCCUCCUGUAAGCUGUGGAAAAAAGACACCGGGAGAACCUCGUCCUUUAAAACGCACCAAGCAAAGUAGAUCUACGAACCAGUAAGACUCAUUUUUUCUUUUUAUUCUAUGUGUGUUUUGACGGCCGCCGCGCCGCUUUCUCACAAACACGCACACAUGCACGCACACUGAUUUUUACAUCCUCCCCUCUUUGUCUUUGCUGUGUAUUGAAGAUGGCUUGUCAUGACCGCCGCGUCGUGACGAUGUGUUUGUCCAAUCAGCUUGAAAUGUUAUGUGUUAUGUGCUAUGUGUUAUGUGUAUUUGCUAGGCCGCCGCGCCAUAACUUUCCAUUUUUUUGACAACAUCCGUUUCACCGACAUAGUCAGCGCAUCCAAUUUGAACCUGGCCACCAAAUUAUUUCAUCCGUUCAUCCCACACGGCCACCCAGUCAUUUGUCUCUUGUCUCUCUUUGUUUGUCUUUCUAUUUCUCUGUUUUUCCUCUAUUUUAGGACCGGAUAGCUUAACUCGUAAUUGUGUCGGGAGGGAAGUCCUCCCGACACAAUUGUAGCAUCUUGUCGUUAGGAUAGUGAGUUUUUUAAAUGACUGCAGAAUGUUUGUUAACUUUGGGAGAGAAAUUCUCUUUCCCUUUGUUUUUUUUUUUUUUGGGCCUAGGAUUAGCUCUGGUUUUAUUAAGUUACUGCAGUAGAUGAUGAUAGAUGGUGUAGAGACUGAAGGGAUCUUUCAGGGCUCUGUGGAGGCUCAGACAGGUUUUAGGUUGGCUAGAUAGUAGUUUAUUGGUCCUUAGCUGCAAUAGAUGAUGAUAGAAGUGGAGAGAUUUUUGUCGUGUGGUGUUAAGUCUGAAGGUGUAGAAGGUGCCUUGUCUAUUGAUUUCUGUCUCUGUCUAAUAAGCUUGGAUCAAUAUUUGUGCACUAACCCCUUUCCUUUUUAGGUAAAUCUACAAUUGGUGAGUCCCAUUUUUAUAUUCUUCUAUGUUUUUUGAAUGGCUGCCAUGCCUCCCUGCUUAUCUGUCU